rnacentral:sRNA from 1 species
GGUUCGAAUCCUGCACGACCCACCAGUUUUAACAUCAAACUCAGAUGUUAAGCGUGAAGGAUAACGUUGCGCCAGCAACGGCCCGUAGGGCGAGCGAAGCGAGUCAUCCUGCACGACCCACCA